rnacentral:rRNA from 1 species
UACGGGGGGGGCAAGCGUUGUUCGGAAUUACUGGGCGUAAAGGGCUCGUAGGCGGCCAACUAAGUCGGAUGUGAAAUCCCCAAGCUUAACUUGGGAACUGCAUCCGAUACUGGAUGGCUUGAAUCCGGGAGAGGGAUGCAGAAUUCCAGGUGUAGCGGUGAAAUGCGUAGAUAUCUGGAGGAACACCGGUGGCGAAGGCGGCAUCCUGGACCGGUAUUGACGCUGAGGCGCGAAAGCUAGGGGAGCGAACAGG